rnacentral:lncRNA from 1 species
CUUGAAAAAUGCAUGCGAGUCUGUCAAAAAAUAAAGUUUUCUGUUUUGUUUUUUAUCAAUGUUCUAGAGUGCUUGAAGGUGACUUAUUGAAUUUACAGAAGCUUUAAAAUGAUGGUGGUUACAAAUUAACAUAAUCCAUUUAAACCUCGUAUAACUUUCUUAUGUAUGCUUGUUGACAACGCAUACAACUUGCCAAUAAUAAUCAGUAACUUAGUUUUUUUCUUGAUUAGUGAUUCAUUUCUUAUUUCUUAGUUGUCAUAGGUAGCAAGUGUGAGGAGCAACUUAAUACAUAUGUGAAGUGUGAGGAGACACUUUUGACUGGACUGACAUACAUGAUCAUGUGUGAGGUGGUUCGUGGUUUUCAUUUUGAUUUGAAAAGGUAUUGUACUUGUAUUUCUGAGAGUUGAGGUGAGCAUUCUGGGUAGAUCUUACCUAAAUUUAUAUGCAUCCAUUUUCUUUGUAAUGGUCAUUUUUUGUAGCUAAGAAGCUUAUGAUGAAUUCAUGAAUAUUAACAUUUGGACUCAUACAUUUCCUCUUGAUCCUUCCAAAGGUUGUAUAGAAAAAUUUUGCCCUUUACAUCAUUGGUCUUCUUUGGUAUUUCACGAUAUGUCGUGAAAUAAGUGUUAUUUAGUUGUUCAUUUUUAUCUUUUAUCUAGUAUGGUAUUAUCUAAUGAAGUAUUUCUCCUAGGCCCUAUCUUUGUAACUCAAUGAUCCUGCAUCAUUUUUCUAAGUUUAAAGUAUUUUAGUACCAUUAUUAAUAAUUUUGAAUCUGAGGUUGCUCAUUGUUUCUCUUUGUAAUUUUAGCCUUCUGUUAGAAAAUAGCACAACUUGGGAUACAAACACAAGGUAUCGCGUCUGUCUUAUGUCUGUCUUUUUUUGAAGUUAUAGCGCAUCACAUCAUAAUGAGGUUUCCUACUUGUUUACUCUGCAGGCAAAUGUGGGGAUGAUGGGUUAUAAUGAAUGCUUCUUGCAGGAGGUUACUUAUGUUCUUGUAUCCGAUGGAGUCUCUAGUAACUUCUGUUCUUGUUUCUUGGAGCAAUUUGAUUUCUUAAUGCAGAG